rnacentral:rRNA from 1 species
AUUGAACGCUGGCGGCAUGCCUAACACAUGCAAGUCGAACGGCAGCAUGGUCUAGCUUGCUAGACUGAUGGCGAGUGGCGAACGGGUGAGUAACGCGUAGGAAUAUACCUUAUAGAGGGGGAUAACCUGGGGAAACUCAGGCUAAUACCGCAUGUUAUCUAAGGAUUAAAGCUGGGGACCUUAGGGCCUGGCGCUAUAAGAAUAGCCUGCGUCCGAUUAGCUAGUUGGUGGGGUAAAGGCCUACCAAGGCGACGAUCGGUAGCUGGUCUGAGAGGAUGAUCAGCCACACUGGGACUGAGACACGGCCCAGACUCCUACGGGAGGCAGCAGUGGGGAAUAUUGGACAAUGGGGGCAACCCUCGAUCCAGCAAUGCCGCGUGUGUGAA